rnacentral:rRNA from 1 species
GAUGAACGCUGGCGGCGUGCCUAAUACAUGCAAGUCGAGCGAACAGACGAGGAGCUUGCUCCUCUGACGUUGCGGCGGACGGGUGAGUAACACGUGGAUAACCUACCUAUAAGACUGGGAUAACUUCGGGAAACCGGAGCUAAUACCGGAUAAUAUAUUGAACCGCAUGGUUCAAUAGUGAAAGACGGUUUUGCUGUCACUUAUAGAUGGAUCCGCGCCGCAUUAGCUAGUUGGUAAGGUAACGGCUUACCAAGGCAACGAUGCGUAGCCGACCUGAGAGGGUGAUCGGCCACACUGGAACUGAGACACGGUCCAGACUCCUACGGGAGGCAGCAGUAGGGAAUCUUCCGCAAUGGGCGAAAGCUUGACGGAGCAACGCCGCGUGAGUGAUGAAGGUCUUCGGAUCGUAAAACUCUGUUAUUAGGGAAGAACAAAUGUGUAAGUAACUAUGCACGUCUUGACGGUACCUAAUCAGAAAGCCACGGCUAACUACGUG